rnacentral:misc_RNA from 1 species
GAUGAAGAACGUAGCGAAAUGCGAUACGUAGUGUGAAUUGCAGAAUUCAGUGAAUCAUCGAAUCUUUGAACGCACAUUGCACCUCUCGGUAUUCCGGGAGGUAUGCCUGUUCGAGCGUCAUUUGUACCCUCAAGCUCUGCUUGGUGUUGGGUGUUUGUUCCGCCUCUGUGUGUGAACUCGCCUCAAAACAAUUGGCAGCCGGCGUACUUGUUUCGGAGCGCAGCACAUUUUGCGAUCCAGAUCAACGUACAGCGGCAUCCAAGAAGCCUUAUUUAACGCUCUUGACCUCGGAUCAGGUAGGGAUACCCGCUGAACUUAAGCAUAUCAAUAAGCGUAGGA